rnacentral:lncRNA from 1 species
CUGCUUAUAAGUUGAGCUCUCAACUUUUGAAAGAUGAAAAAAAAAAUGAUAAGUGGUGGUCCAGCUGACUGCUGAAAGAAUGGGGAUUCAUGAUGUAUCUAUAAUAAAAAUAGUAAAAAGAGGUGUCAAGAUUUAGGUUUGAACGUUUGAUGUGUGGAUAUUCUAUAAUUUUUUAUUUUAUCCUGUUUUUCCCUGUUUACCUUGUUAUUUUCAUUCUUAGUACAUUUACUCAUUAGUGUGUUUUUUUAUGAGUGCUAGGUGCUAGCAAAUCUUGAGAAAUUUGAAUCUGUGUUUUCUUCCAAAUCCAAUGGCUCUGAUUGUCUGAUUGGAUGGAGUGAGACUAGAGUUCACUCCUGAGGCUGGCAAGGCACUCUGCAGUUUUCUAAUGCAUCAUAGCGAACUAUACAUUUUGACAGCAGUCAUAAUCUAAGUUUUGCUUGUGAUAAAGAAAAAUGGGGAAGGAAAAUUGAGGGAAAACAUACAUGUAGAAGAACAAGAAUUUUGUUUCCAUAAUUAUCCAAUACUCUAGGGGUUCAUCAACGUCCUUAACAUUCUGAAUUGUGCAUUCCCAAUAAAUAAACAAUCGUAAAUCGUAAUCUCUCAUUUUCUACGGGUUCUCUGUCUCUGAAACCAGUGGAAUAUACUUGUCCAUUUUUAAUCUUGUUAAUAGCAGAAGUCAAGCAUUUAAAGUAGAUAUUAUUGUUCCAGUAAGUGACUUGUGAAGGUGAUUAUCUUAAUAAAGAUUAGUCGUUUUGAUUUCAAUUUGAGAUACUGACUAUAUGCAUAUGACCCAAAAUUUGUUUAUAACGAUCAUAAGCUGGUCUUGUGAUGCAAUAUUCUUAAUCAUGUAUUGCCUGUGUCUCAUGCAUGAGGGGUGCAUCAUCUGUAGAACAGGCAAGAGGGAUUAAAGAAACUUGAUUGGAGAAUUGUACUAGUUUUAAGUUUUAACUUCGGAAUGUAAAAGUCUUGGAUUAUACUAAAUUUUAUAUUUUCAUUUCUCUGAUAAAAUUGUUUGCUUUGAUGUCAUUUGACAUGGGAGACCCGGAGAUGAAAGGCCCCGACCCCCAGUAUCUCUUUUUGCUAGGGAUCCAUUAGUGGACCUAUGCAGUAAUUGGGCUCACUUUUGCAUUCUUUUACAGGAUAACAUGUCUCGAAGUGAUGACCCGAACAACUAUGUAGUGCAUAACUCUCUUUUGGAGAAAGGAAAAGAGAGAGUCAACAAAAUGUUGGCCUGGCAAAAAUGAAAAGAACAAGAAUGGGUCGGGAAAUCUCUCACUUGAUCUCAAGUUCAAUUUUAUGCUCAACUUUCAGAACAAAACUACUAAUGACAAUGCAACUAUUAUGGUAGAACGAUACUUGACAAGGUGAAAGUCCUUUUCUACAUAAAUUGUAUUGAGCAUGACUAAACAGUUGGGAUUUGUUUGGUUAGCGGUAAAGGGUAAGAAUGACACUACGAUUG